rnacentral:rRNA from 1 species
CCUACGGGAGACUGCAGUGAGGAAUAUUGGUCAAUGGACGAGAGUCUGAACCAGCCAAGUAGCGUGAAGGAUGACUGCCCUAUGGGUUGUAAACUUCUUUUAUAUGGGAAUAAAACGUUCCACGUGUGGGAUUUUGUAUGUACCAUAUGAAUAAGGAUCGGCUAACUCCGUGCCAGCAGCCGCGGUAAUACGGAGGAUCCGAGCGUUAUCCGGAUUUAUUGGGGUUAAAGGGAGCGUAGGUGGAUUGUUAAGUCAGUUGUGAAAGUUUGCGGCUCAACCGUAAAAUUGCAGUUGAAACUGGCAGUCUUGAGUACGGGAGAGGUGGGCGGAAUGCGUGGUGUAGCGGUGAAAUGCUUAGAUAUCACGAAGAACUCCGAUUGCGAAGGCAGUUCACUGGACUGCAACUGACACUGAGGCUCGAAAGUGUGGGUAUCAAACAGGAUUAGAUACCCCAGUAGUC